rnacentral:rRNA from 1 species
UACGUAGGGGGCAAGCGUUGUCCGGAAUCAUUGGGCGUAAAGAGCGUGUAGGCGGCCCGGUAAGUCCGCUGUGAAAGUCGAGGGCUCAACCCUCGAAUGCCGGUGGAUACUGUCGGGCUUGAGUACGGGAGAGGCGAGUGGAAUUCCUGGUGUAGCGGUGAAAUGCGUAGAUAUCGGGAGGAACACCAGUGGCGAAGGCGACUACCUGGCCCAUUCUUGACGCUGAGGCGCGAAAGCUAGGGGAGCAAACGGG